AAUCUCACACCCCCCGGUUUUACGACCGGUGCGGGAGGUGGACUUGGGCGUCUGUCUUUUGCUAGACUCGCCUCAAAUGGAUUAGUGGAAUGAAAGCUAAUGGCUGAAGACGUAAUAAGUUUCGUCCCGGCCCGGCUCGAGGUCCGCUCCCAACCCCCCAAUUUCUAUGA
rnacentral:misc_RNA from 1 species